ACACACUCUCAGGAUCCCUCAACUAUAAACACACACGUAUCUAAAGGUACGUGAUCACUGUCACACACACACACACACGCUCUCUCUCUCACACACACACUCUCCCACACAUACACACACACCCACACACCCACACACACACACACACUCUCUCUCUCUCUCUCUCUCUCUCUUUGCAUGUUGGGAGUUUGGGUUAUGGGAGCAACAAACGGGUGAGAGGAGUGUUGGGUUUUUCUACUACUUUGCUAAGUUUAUUAUUAUUUUUUCCCUCUUAUGUUUUAUUUUGUUUCGUUUAUAUAUUGAUUAAUUUAAUUUCGAGUAACAUACGUUUUUCGGAAUUUUUGACUUCGUGGCGGAGGCCUGAGAUGGAGGCUCACCCAAGUGGGGGUGUGGCCUCACUCUCGCUCCGUCAUGGAGUCAGGUGUGUACCUGACGCUGAUUCAAAUGUGGAAGACGUGCUUGUCGCGGUUGGUGAACAAAUUGGAUACAGAAAUAUUAUUUCAGCGUCAAGGAUGAACAAAGCGGUGGUGAUUUUCCUUAAAGACGAAAGUAUGGUGAGUAAACUAAUUGAAAUUGUUGUUUGGAUAAAUGGAGCGUUUACUGUUGUUUCACCGCUUGUGUCGCAAUCUAUGAAAGUUACGAUCUCUAAUGUACCCCCCUUCAUACUAAACAGUGACAUUGAAAAAGAAUUGUUGAGGUUUGGAAAAAUGGCCAGCGAAAUGAAAAUGAUUCCGUUGAGGUGUAGGAAUGAAGCAUUGAAACACGUGUUGUCUUUUAAGCGUCAUGUGUUUAUGUUUCUUGAUCAACCAGCGCUUGAUAUUUCUUUCCGAAUUCAACAUGAGGGUAAAUCAUAUAUGAUUUACGCGAGUACCGGAAACUUGAAAUGUUAUGAAUGUGGUGACGUUGGGCAUAAAAAGGUCGCUUGCCCACAUAAUAAAAUGCACCUGGAAAACAAUGUAAAUGAUAUUGAAGUCAUUCAUAGUGUACAGACGGGAGAAAAUGUAGAGAUAGGUGAAGAACCAAACAAAACAAUAAUUGAUGGGGAAAACAAAGAUGAAACUGCAGGUGAAGGGACGAGUUAUCAGAAGAAGAGAAAUUCAACUGGAAGUGUAGUUGGUAGUGGUAGGCCUACUGAAAAGAGAGAAAAUGUGUGUGUAGGUGCUGGUGAUGGUGAUAAUGGAGAUGAAGAGGGUCUUCGUGCUAAGCUACCAAAGCUUGUGACAAAGGAUGCACAAGAUACUGGGCAGAACUUUUUGUCCCAGUUAACUGAUACUAACGAUGAGCAAGAUGACAAUGAUGAAAAUGAUGAUCAUUUUUCAGAAGCAUCAGAUAUUCUUUCUCAAAUUGAUGAAGAUCAGUUAUACACAGUUAACGAGGUUAAUGAUUUCUUAGAUGCGACAUUUGGAAAAACUUUUGAGGUUAGUGAAUUUUUCCCUGAUGCAAAAAAUGUUUUGCAAUCAGCUGUGAAAAUUCAACAGAUGGC
ensembl:lncRNA